ensembl:lncRNA
UUUUUUUUUUUUUUUCCUAAGAGAAGGGUCUCACUCUGUCGCCUAGGCUAGAGUGCACUGGUAAGAUCAUAGCUCACUGCAGCCUCAACCUCCCAGGCUCAAGCGAUCCUCCUGCCCAAGCCUCCCAAGUAGCUAGUUUUACAGGUAUGUGCCACUGCACUUGGUUGCUUUUUAAAUUUUUUUCCAGAUACAGGGUCUUGUCAAGUUGCCCAGGCUGGUCUUGAAUUCCUGGCCUCAAGCAAUCCUCCCACCUCAGUCUCUCAAAGUACUGGGAUUACAAGCUGUGAGGCACGGCACCACCGGGCUGGCCAUUAUGAUUUUUAAAUGAGUCAGGGCUGAAGGAAGGAAACAUGUUAUAGAGGUACUGUAUCAGGGUGGUGGUAGAAGUGUAGACCAGGAAACACAUUUACACAACAUAUGCUAGAUAAAAUUGCAUCCUCUCCUCAUCCAUCGGUCCCUCCUUCAGUUCACAGGUUUCUACUCUGCUUUUUCUGAAUCAACUCCAUGUCACCCCAUCCUCCCUCUUCAGCCCCCAAUUCAGAUCAUGAGGGUAUGCACAAAGAAAGAACACUUCCCCUUUUACUUUUAUUCACUGUUUUCGUCAAUGUCCACUGUCAGUGUCGUGACAAUUCCAGCUUGCUGCCCUUGAGUGAGUCACAAAGUUCUAUGGGAACAGAAUUCUUAAAGCCCCUCCCCAUCUUCUUUUUUCCCUUCAGUCUCUUCCAUAUUGUAUGGGACCAGUUUUUCUAGGGCUAUAAAACAACAACAAGGCUGGGUGCAGUGGUUCACGCUUGUAAUACCAGCACUUUGGGAGGCCGAGGCGGGCAGAUCACCUGAGGUCCGGUGUUCAAGACCAGCCUGGCCAACAUGGCAAAACCCCAUCUCUACUAAAAAAUACAGAAAUUAGCUGGGUGUGGUGGCAGGUGCCUGUAAUCCCAGCUACUUGGGAGGCUGAGGUGGAAGAAUUGCUUGAACCCACGAGGUGGAGGUUGCAGUGAGCCGAGAUCGUGCCACUGCAAUCCGGGCUGGGAGACAAAGCGAGACUGCAUCUCAAAACAAACAAAACAAAACAAAAACCAACAAAAAAAUGAAACCUCUUCAAAAGAUUUAGAAGUGAACAGUGACCUACCUGGAGCUCUGCUAUAAUGCAGCUACUUGAGGGCAGGUUUCUCUCUCUGUAUGGGUCACUGUUCAAUCACCAAUGGCAUCUAAUUCAUAAUAGGUAAGAUUUAAGGGCGAAUUGCUCUUCAGUUUCUUCUGUAGGUGGUUUUUGUUCUCAGAGAUGUGAUACCAGAUCUAUACAACUGCCACAGAAGGCCUGGACAGUCAUUAGACAGACGACAAAGGGCCAUCUAAACAGCCUGUAAAGGUGGCAACGAAAAGUCAUCUACUCAAAAGAGAAUGUGAAGAAUUCACUGAGGACAGAACGCCAUCCUUUUUAUAGUGAGGGCCAUCUUCGCAUUAUCUGUAGGAUUUAGAUGAAGUUUACCAAGUACUAUCACAUUUUCAUUUAAUCCUCCCCAUAAUCCUAUAAAGCAGACAUGAUGAUCUCCAUUUAACAGAAGCAACGGAAGCUUAGCAAGGUUAAGUUACUUGCCUCAAGUCAGAAUGUCAGUAUCUGGCUGAGAAUUCAAGCCUGGGCUUCUCCAGCUUUCUAUUUGCUUAUUCAAUAUCCUUCUCUCUUAACCACUGCCCC